UGAGAGAGGUCAGCGUGAGCCCCUUGCCUCACACCGGCCCCUCCCACGCUGAGAGAGGUCAGUGUGAGCCCUUGCCUCACACCGGCCCCUCCCACGCGGACAGAGGUCAGCGUGAGCCCCUUGCCUCACACCGGCCCCUCCCACGCUGAGAGAGGUCAGUGUGAGCCCUUGCCUCACCCCGGCCCCUCCCACGUGGACAGAGGUCAGCGUGAGCCCCUUGUCUCACACCGGCCCCUCCCACGCUGAGAGAGGUCAGUGUGAGCCCUUGCCUCACACCGGCCCCUCCCACGCGGACAGAGGUCAGCGUGAGCCCCUUGCCUCACACCGGCCCCUCCCACGCGGACAGAGGUCAGCCCGAGCCCCUUGUCUCACACCGGCCCCUCCCAUGCUGAGAGAGGUCAGCGUGAGCCCCUUGCCUCACACCGGCCCCUCCCACGCUGAGAGAGGUCAGCCCGAGCCCCUUGCCUCACACCGGCCCCUCCCACGCUGAGAGAGGUCAGCGUGAGCCCCUUGUCUCACACCGGCCCCUCCCACGCUGAGAGAGGUCAGCCCGAGCCCCUUGCCUCACACCGGCCCCUCCCACGCUGAGAGAGGUGUGAGCCCCUUGUCUCACACCGGCCCCUCCCACGCGGACAGAGGUCAGCGUGAGCCCCUUGCCUCACCCCGGCCCCUCCCACGCUGAGAGAGGUCAGUGUGAGCCCUUGCCUCACACCGGCCCCUCCCACGCGGACAGAGGUCAGCGUGAGCCCCUUGCCUCACCCCGGCCCCUCCCACGCUGAGAGAGGUCAGUGUGAGCCCUUGCCUCACACCGGCCCCUCCCACGCGGACAGAGGUC
rnacentral:lncRNA from 1 species